GCGGGUGUAGUUUAGUGGUAAAACUACAGCCUUCCAAGCUGUUGUCGCGAGUUCGAAUCCCGUAACCCGCU
rnacentral:tRNA from 1 species